CCUACGGGAGACAGCAGUGAGGAAUAUUGGUCAAUGGACGGGAGUCUGAACCAGCCAAGUCGCGUGAAGGAUGACUGCCCUAUGGGUUGUAAACUUCUUUUAUAUGGGAAUAAAACAGGGUAUGCAUACCCUCUUGUAUGUACCUUAUGAAUAAGGAUCGGCUAACUCCGUGCCAGCAGCCGCGGUAAUACGGAGGAUCCGAGCGUUAUCCGGUUUUAUUGGGUUUAAAGGGAGCGUAGGUGGAUUGUUAAGUCAGUUGUAAAAGUUUGCGGCUCAACCGUGAAAUUGCAUUUAAAAUUGGCGGUCGGGAGUAGAGUAGAGUUGGAGGGAAGUGUGGGUGAGGGGGUGAAUUGCUUGGAUACCACGAAGAACCCCGAUUGCGAGGGCAGCUCACUGGACUGCAACGGAGAC
rnacentral:rRNA from 1 species